AUACGGAAGGUCCGGGCGUUAUCCGGAUUUAUUGGGUUUAAAGGGAGCGCAGGCGGGGGGUUAAGCGUGCCGUGAAAUGUACCGGCUCAACCGGGGAGGUGGGGCGCGAACUGGCUUUCUUUAGUGCGGACGAGGGAGGCGGAAUUCGGGGGGUAGCGGGUGAAUGCUUAGAUAUCACGAAGAACUCCGAUUGCGCAGGCAGCCUUCCAGUCCGUUACUGACGCUAAAGCUCGAAGGUGCGGGUAUCGAACAGGAUUAGAUACCCUGGUAGUCCGCACGGUAAACGAUGGAUGCCCGCUGUCGGCGAUAUAAUGUCGGUGGCCAAGCGAAAGCGUUAAGCAUCCCACCUGGGGAGUACGCCGGCAACGGUGAAACUCAAAUGAAUUGACGGGG
rnacentral:rRNA from 1 species